CCCUCAUUUAGGACACUGCACCCAUUUCAAAAGAAAGGUUCUUUUAGCAAGGAAAAAAGAAAUGACUAUUGGGCAGAGUUAAUACCUACUGAUGGUUGAAAAAUUUCAGAGUGCAAAAAUAUUAAAGAGAACUGAAAUUGUCAGCUUCUGAGGACUGAGCCACCAGCAACAAAGAAGUGAAAUUAGUACCUUCUAGAAGAAAGUGAUUUCCUCUACUGUAGAACCUGUCUCUCUUUCAUUGAGCCCACAACUAUUUUUCCUGAUAUGCAAUGCCAGCUGGUGUCAAGUCUCAUCAAGCUGGAUGACAUGAUGUGGUUCUUUUUUCUAACCUGUGGGCCUAAUUGCAAUUUAUAAGUAAGUGCAAACGUUCACACAGAUGUUUCAAGCUGGUUCUUUCCAUGAAGGCUGCCUCAGUAUUAAAGUGAAUGGAAUUCACAA